rnacentral:rRNA from 1 species
UACGUAGGCAGCAAGCGUUGUUCGGAGUUACUGGGCGUAAAGAGUGCGUAGGUGGUGCCCUAAGUCUGUUGUGAAAUCUCCCGGCUUAACUGGGAGGGUGCGGUGGAAACUGGGGUGCUUGAGUGUGGGAGAGGUAAGCGGAAUUCCUGGUGUAGCGGUGAAAUGCGUAGAUAUCAGGAAGAACACCAAUGGCGAAGGCAGCUCUCUGGGACGGUACUGACGCUGAGACGCGAAAGCGUGGGGAGCGAACAGG